GCAGUGCGUGGCCAAAUGGUUACGCUGUCCGCUUUGUAAGCGGAUGAUUCUGGGUUGAAUUCCCAUCUGCUGCA
rnacentral:tRNA from 1 species